GGCAACUAUGGCUCAGUGGGUAGAGUAGUCAUCUUGUGAUUGGAAGGCUGUGGGUUCAAUUCCAGCUUCCCUGUCA